UACUGGUGAGCUAGAGUAUGGGAGAGGAUGGUAGAAUUCCAGGUGUAGCGGUGAAAUGCGUAGAGAUCUGGAGGAAUACCGAUGGCGAAGGCAGCCAUCUGGCGUAAUACUGACGCUGAGGUACGAAAGCAUGGGGAGCAAACAGGAUUAGAUACCCUGGUAGUCCAUGCCGUAAACGAUGUCUACUAGCCGUUGGGGCCUUUGAGGCUUUAGUGGCGCAGCUAACGCGAUAAGUAGACCGCCUGGGGAGUACGGUCGCAAGACUAAAACUCAAAUGAAUUGACGGGGGCCCGCACAAGCGGUGGAGCAUGUGGUUUAAUUCGAUGCAACGCGAAGAACCUUACCUGGCCUUGACAUACUAGAAACUUUCCAGAGAUGGAUUGGUGCCUUCGGGAAUCUAGAUACAGGUGCUGCAUGGCUGUCGUCAGCCCGUGUCGUGAGAUGUUGGGUUAAGUCCCGCAACGAGCGCAACCCUUUUCCUUACUUGCCAGCAUUUCGGAUGGGAACUUUAAGGAUACUGCCAGUGACAAACUGGAGGAAGGCGGGGACGACGUCAAGUCAUCAUGGCCCUUACGGCCAGGGCUACACACGUGCUACAAUGGUCGGUACAAAGGGUUGCUACACAGCGAUGUGAUGCUAAUCUCAAAAAGCCGAUCGUAGUCCGGAUUGGAGUCUGCAACUCGACUCCAUGAAGUCGGAAUCGCUAGUAAUCGCGGAUCAGAAUGCCGCGGUGAAUACGUUCCCGGGCCUUGUACACACCGCCCGUCACACCAUGGGAGUUUGUUGCACCAGAAGUAGCUAGCCUAACUGCAAAGAGGGCGGUUACCACGGUGUGGCCGAUGACUGGGGUG
rnacentral:rRNA from 1 species